GCCGGGCAUGGUGGUGCCUGCCUGUAAUCCCAGCUACUCAGGAGGCUGAGGCAGGAGAAUUGCUUGAACCCAGGAGGCGGAGGUUGUGGUGAGUCGAAAUCAGGCCACCGAACUCCAGCCUGGGUGACAGAGGGAGACUCUGUCUCCA
ensembl:misc_RNA Metazoa_SRP Metazoan signal recognition particle RNA